GAUGAACGCUGGCGGCGUGCCUAAUACAUGCAAGUCGAGCGAACAGACGAGGAGCUUGCUCCUCUGACGUUAGCGGCGGACGGGUGAGUAACACGUGGAUAACCUACCUAUAAGACUGGGAUAACUUCGGGAAACCGGAGCUAAUACCGGAUAAUAUAUUGAACCGCAUGGUUCAAUAGUGAAAGACGGUUUUGCUGUCACUUAUAGAUGGAUCCGCGCCGCAUUAGCUAGUUGGUAAGGUAACGGCUUACCAAGGCAACGAUGCGUAGCCGACCUGAGAGGGUGGUCGGCCACACUGGAACUGAGACACGGUACAGACUCCUACGGGAGGCAGCAGUAGGGAAUCUUCCGCAAUGGGCGAAAGCUUGACGGAGCAACGCCGCGUGAGUGAUGAAGGUCUUCGGAUCGUAAAACUCUGUUAUUAGGGAAGAACAAAUGUGUAAGUAACUAUGCACGUCUUGACGGUACCUAAUCAGAAAGCCACGGCUAACUACGUG
rnacentral:rRNA from 1 species